AGCGGCGGACGGGUGAGUAAUGCCUAGGAAUCUGCCCGAUAGUGGGGGACAACGUUUCGAAAGGAACGCUAAUACCGCAUACGUCCUACGGGAGAAAGCAGGGGACCUUCGGGCCUUGCGCUAUCGGAUGAGCCUAGGUCGGAUUAGCUAGUUGGUGGGGUAAAGGCUCACCAAGGCGACGAUCCGUAACUGGUCUGAGAGGAUGAUCAGUCACACUGGAACUGAGACACGGUCCAGACUCCUACGGGAGGCAGCAGUGGGGAAUAUUGGACAAUGGGCGAAAGCCUGAUCCAGCCAUGCCGCGUGUGUGAAGAAGGUCUUCGGAUUGUAAAGCACUUUAAGCUGGGAGGAAGGGCAGUAAGUUAAUACCUUGCUGUUUUGACGUUACCAGCAGAAUAAGCACCGGCUAACUUCGUGCCAGCAGCCGCGGUAAUACGAAGGGUGCAAGCGUUAAUCGGAAUUACUGGGCGUAAAGCGCGCGUAGGUGGUUCAGCAAGUUGGAUGUGAAAGCCCCGGGCUCAACCUGGGAACUGCAUCCAAAACUACUGGGCUAGAGUAUGGUAGAGGGUGGUGGAAUUUCCUGUGUAGCGGUGAAAUGCGUAGAUAUAGGAAGGAACACCAGUGGCGAAGGCGACCACCUGGACUAAUACUGACACUGAGGUGCGAAAGCGUGGGGAGCAAACAGGAUUAGAUACCCUGGUAGUCCACGCCGUAAACGAUGUCAACUAGUUGUUGGGUUCCUUGAGGACUUAGUAACGAAGCUAACGCGAUAAGUUGACCGCCUGGGGAGUACGGCCGCAAGGUUAAAACUCAAAUGAAUUGACGGGGG
rnacentral:rRNA from 1 species